rnacentral:pre_miRNA from 1 species
AAACCGUUACCAUUAUUGUAACCAAUAAUGGUAAGGGUUCUC